rnacentral:rRNA from 1 species
CAUGAUUUACUUGAUCUUGAUAAUCCUAAAUGGACAACUGUGGAAAAGCUAGAGCUAAUACAUGCACUAAAGCUUUGUCCUUACGGAAAAGCGCAUUUAUUAGAACAAAACCAAGCGGCUUCGGCUGCUUCUUGUUGACUCAGAAUAACUAAGCUGACCGCAUGGCCAAGUGCCGGCGGCGAAUCUUUCAAGCGUCCACUUUAUCAACUUGACGGGAGCAUAAUCGACUCCCGUGGUGGUGACGGAUAACGGAGGAUCAGGGUUCGACUCCGGAGAAGGGGCCUGAGAAAUGGCCACUACGUCUAAGGAUGGCAGCAGGCGCGCAAAUUACCCACUCUCGGCUCGAGGAGGUAGUGACGAGAAAUAACGAGGUCGUUCUCAAAUGAGGCCGGUCAUCGGAAUGGGUACAAUUUAAACCCUUUAACGAGUAUCAAGCAGAGGGCAAGUCUGGUGCCAGCAGCCGCGGUAAUUCCAGCUCUGCUAAUACAUAGAAUUAUUGCUGCGGUUAAAAAGCUCGUAGUUGGAUUCGUGUCGAUACCCUGGAACCCUUCGGGUGUCUCUAGGUGUUAUCGAUUUAUCGUAAUGUUCGGUCUUGAGUCCUUAACAGGAUUCCUGACAGGCGUUACAAGUUUACUUUGAACAAAUCAGAGUGCUUCAAACAGGCGUUUAGCUUGAAUGAUCGUGCAUGGAAUAAUAGAAUACGAUUUCGGUUCAGUUUUAUUGGUUUUACGGACUGAGAUAAUGGUUAACAGAGACAAACGGGGGCAUUUGUAUGGCUCCGUGAGAGGUGAAAUUCUUGGACCGUGGCCAGACAAACUACAGCGAAAGCAUUCGCCAAGAAUGUCUUCAUUAAUCAAGAACGAAAGUCAGAGGUUCGAAA